UCCAGAGUUUGAUCAUGGCUCAGAUUGAACGCUGGCGGCAGGCCUAACACAUGCAAGUCGAGCGGAAACGAGUUAACUGAACCUUCGGGGGACGUUAACGGCGUCGAGCGGCGGACGGGUGAGUAAUGCCUAGGAAAUUGCCCUGAUGUGGGGGAUAACCAUUGGAAACGAUGGCUAAUACCGCAUGAUGCCUACGGGCCAAAGAGGGGGACCUUCGGGCCUCUCGCGUCAGGAUAUGCCUAGGUGGGAUUAGCUAGUUGGUGAGGUAAGGGCUCACCAAGGCGACGAUCCCUAGCUGGUCUGAGAGGAUGAUCAGCCACACUGGAACUGAGACACGGUCCAGACUCCUACGGGAGGCAGCAGUGGGGAAUAUUGCACAAUGGGCGCAAGCCUGAUGCAGCCAUGCCGCGUGUGUGAAGAAGGCCUUCGGGUUGUAAAGCACUUUCAGUCGUGAGGAAGGUAGUGUAGUUAAUAGCUGCAUUAUUUGACGUUAGCGACAGAAGAAGCACCGGCUAACUCCGUGCCAGCAGCCGCGGUAAUACGGAGGGUGCGAGCGUUAAUCGGAAUUACUGGGCGUAAAGCGCAUGCAGGUGGUUUGUUAAGUCAGAUGUGAAAGCCCGGGGCUCAACCUCGGAAUAGCAUUUGAAACUGGCAGACUAGAGUACUGUAGAGGGGGGUAGAAUUUCAGGUGUAGCGGUGAAAUGCGUAGAGAUCUGAAGGAAUACCGGUGGCGAAGGCGGCCCCCUGGACAGAUACUGACACUCAGAUGCGAAAGCGUGGGGAGCAAACAGGAUUAGAUACCCUGGUAGUCCACGCCGUAAACGAUGUCUACUUGGAGGUUGUGGCCUUGAGCCGUGGCUUUCGGAGCUAACGCGUUAAGUAGACCGCCUGGGGAGUACGGUCGCAAGAUUAAAACUCAAAUGAAUUGACGGGGGCCCGCACAAGCGGUGGAGCAUGUGGUUUAAUUCGAUGCAACGCGAAGAACCUUACCUACUCUUGACAUCCAGAGAACUUUCCAGAGAUGGAUUGGUGCCUUCGGGAACUCUGAGACAGGUGCUGCAUGGCUGUCGUCAGCUCGUGUUGUGAAAUGUUGGGUUAAGUCCCGCAACGAGCGCAACCCUUAUCCUUGUUUGCCAGCGAGUAAUGUCGGGAACUCCAGGGAGACUGCCGGUGAUAAACCGGAGGAAGGUGGGGACGACGUCAAGUCAUCAUGGCCCUUACGAGUAGGGCUACACACGUGCUACAAUGGCGCAUACAGAGGGCGGCCAACUUGCGAAAGUGAGCGAAUCCCAAAAAGUGCGUCGUAGUCCGGAUUGGAGUCUGCAACUCGACUCCAUGAAGUCGGAAUCGCUAGUAAUCGUGGAUCAGAAUGCCACGGUGAAUACGUUCCCGGGCCUUGUACACACCGCCCGUCACACCAUGGGAGUGGGCUGCAAAAGAAGUAGGUAGUUUAACCUUCGGGGGGACGCUUACCACUUUGUGGUUCAUGACUGGGGUGAAGUC
rnacentral:rRNA from 1 species